rnacentral:rRNA from 1 species
CUUUUCUUGUAUAAAAUAUGAAAUAUGGCCUGCCCACUGAUUAAUUUUGAAGGGCCGCGGUAUUUUGACCGUGCAAAGGUAGCAUAAUCAUUAGUCUUUUAAUUGUAGACUGGUAUGAAUGGUUGGACGAGGAAUAAACUGUUUCUUAUUAUUUUUUUUUGAAUUUAAUUUUUGAGUUAAAAAGCUUAAAUUUAUUUAUGGGACGAGAAGACCCUAUAGAGUUUUAUAUUUUAUAUAUUUAUUUUGUUUGAUUAAAUAUUUAUUUUGUAUUAUAAUUUAUUUUGUUGGGGUGAUAGGAAGAAUUAAUUAACUCUUUUUUAUAUUUAUACACUUAUUUGUGAUAUAUUGAUCCAUUCUUGUUGAUUAUAAGAUUAAAUUACC